GAGUUUGAUCAUGGCUCAGAGCGAACGUUGGCGGCGCGCUUAACACAUGCAAGUCGAACGCGAAAAGGGGCAACCCUGAGUAGAGUGGCGCACGGGUGCGUAACACGUAGGCAAUCUGCCCUAUGGAGGGGGAUAACCAUCCGAAAGGAUGGCUAAUACCGCGUAAGACCACGACUGCUUCGGCAGAUGCGGUCAAAGUUGGCCUCUACUUGUAAGCUAACACCAAAGGACGAGCCUGCGGCCCAUCAGCUAGUUGGUAAGGUAACGGCUUACCAAGGCUAAGACGGGUAGCUGGUCUGAGAGGAUGAUCAGCCACACUGGCACUGAAACACGGGCCAGACUCCUACGGGAGGCAGCAGUGGGGAAUCUUGGACAAUGGGCGAAAGCCUGAUCCAGCGACGCCGCGUGGGUGAUGAAGGCCUUCGGGUCGUAAAGCCCUGUGGGCAGGAAAGAAAACGGUCACGGCGAACAGGCGUGGCCCUUGACGGUACCUGCUCAGAAAGCACCGGCUAACUCUGUGCCAGCAGCCGCGGUAAGACAGAGGGUGCAAACGUUGCUCGGAAUUACUGGGCGUAAAGCGCGUGUAGGCGGACCGGAAAGUCGGGCGUGAAAUCCCUGGGCUCAACCCAGGAACUGCACUCGAAACUUCCGGCCUUGAGUGGUGGAGAGGGUAGUGGAAUUCCUGGUGUAGAGGUGAAAUUCGUAGAUAUCAGGAGGAACACCGGUGGCGAAGGCGGCUACCUGGACACUAACUGACGCUGAGACGCGAAAGCGUGGGGAGCAAACAGGAUUAGAUACCCUGGUAGUCCACGCUGUAAACGAUGGGCACUAGGUGUCGCGGGUAUUGACCCCUGCGGUGCCGUAGCAAACGCGUUAAGUGCCCCGCCUGGGGAGUACGGCCGCAAGGCUAAAACUCAAAGGAAUUGACGGGGGCCCGCACAAGCGGUGGAGCAUGUGGUUUAAUUUGACGCAACGCGCAGAACCUUACCCGGGCUAGAAAAACAAGGAACCUUCCAGAGAUGGAGGGGUGCCCGCAAGGGAAU
rnacentral:rRNA from 1 species